rnacentral:rRNA from 1 species
UACGAGGGGAGCUAGCGUUGUUCGGAAUUACUGGGCGUAAAGGGCGCGUAGGCGGUAUCAUAAGUCAGAUGUGAAAGCCCCAGGCUCAACCUGGGAGGUGCAUUUGAGACUAUGGAACUAGAGAUCGAGAGAGGAAAGUGGAAUUACGAGUGUAGAGGUGAAAUUCGUAGAUAUUCGUAAGAACACCAGUGGCGAAGGCGACUUUCUGGCUCGAUACUGACGCUGAGGCGCGAAAGCCAGGGGAGCGAACGGG